rnacentral:pre_miRNA from 1 species
GGCUUUUUGAAUCCGUGCUGAGAUUUCGUCAGACACCAACCUAUUGGGGCUGAUUAGACUUCCAAGAUAAGUGUUGUC